AGUGAACGCUGGCGGUAGGCCUAACGCAUGCAAGUCGAACGGCAGCACAGUAAGAGCUUGCUCUUACGGGUGGCGAGUGGCGGACGGGUGAGGAAUACAUCGGAAUCUACUUUUUCGUGGGGGAUAACGUAGGGAAACUUACGCUAAUACCGCACACGACCUACGGGUGAAAGCAGGGGAUCUUCGGACCUUGCGCGAUUGAAUGAGCCGAUGUCGGAUUAGCUAGUUGGCGGGGUAAAGGCCCACCAAGGCGACGAUCCGUAGCUGGUCUGAGAGGAUGGUCAGCCACACUGGAACUGAGACACGGUCCAUACGCCUACGGGAGGCAGCAGUGGGGAAUAUUGGACAAUGGGCGCAAGCCUGAUCCAGCCAUACCGCGUGGGUGAAGAAGGCCUUCGGGUUGUAAAGCCCUUUUGUUGGGAAAGAAAAGCAGCAGGUUAAUACCCCGCUGUUCUGACGGUACCCAAAGAAUAAGCACCGGCUAACUUCGUG
rnacentral:rRNA from 1 species